rnacentral:rRNA from 1 species
GAUGAACGCUGGCGGCGUGCCUAAUACAUGCAAGUCGAGCGAACAGACGAGGAGCUUGCUCCUCUGACGUUAGCGGCGGACGGGUGAGUAACACGUGGAUAACCUACCUAUAAGACUGGGAUAACUUCGGGAAACCAGAGCUAAUACCGGAUAAUAUAUUGAACCGCAUGGUUCAAUAGUGAAAGACGGUUUUGCUGUCACUUAUAGAUGGAUCCGCGCCGCAUUAGCUAGUUGGUAAGGUAACGGCUUACCAAGGCAACGAUGCGUAGCCGACCUGAGAGGGUGAUCGGCCACACUGGAACUGAGACACGGUCCAGACUCCUACGGGAGGCAGCAGUAGGGAAUCUUCCGCAAUGGGCGAAAGCCUGACGGAGCAACGCCGCGUGAGUGAUGAAGGUCUUCGGAUCGUAAAACUCUGUUAUUAGGGAAGAACAAAUGUGUAAGUAACUAUGCACGUCUUGACGGUACCUAAUCAGAAAGCCACGGCUAACUACGU